GUGCCAUGCAUGCCUUGAAUAAUAUACUGCCAAAAUGGGUUCCAGUGGCAGAGAUACGUAGAUCAUUGGCAUUGGUUUAUUGUGGAAUGUAUCUUGGAUCUGUAACUGGUCUGGUCUAGCAUUGUCACCAAUGCUGAUCCAUAGUUUUGGCUGGCCAUCUGUGUUUUAUUCAUUUGGUUCACUGGGGACAUGGCAUGCAGUCAGGUUUGUUCUUACUAUAUAAAAAAAUUAAAGUAUAAUUGUUUAAAUAUCUUAAUUCCUC
rnacentral:lncRNA from 1 species